GACGAACGCUGGCGGCGGGCUUAACACAUGCAAGUCGAACGGAAAGGCCCUGCUUUUGUGGGGUGCCCGAGUGGCGAACGGGUGAGUAACACGUGAGUAACCUGCCCUUGACUUUCGGAGAACUUCAGGAAACUGGGGCUAAUACCGGAUAGGAGCUCCCGCUGCAUGGUGGGCGUUGGAAAGUCUCGGCUGUUGGGGAUGGACUCGCGGCUUAUCAGCUUGUUGGUGGGGUAGUGGCUUACCAAGGCUUUGACGGGUAGGCGGCCUGAGAGGGUGACCGGCGACAUUGGGACUGAGAUACGGCCCAGACUGCUACGGGAGGCAGCAGUGGGGAAUAUUGCACAAUGGGCGGAAGCCUGAUGCAGCAACGCCGCGUGCGGGAUGACGGCCUUCGGGUUGUAAACCGCUUUCGCCUGUGACGAAGCGUGAGUGACGGUAAUGGGUAAAGAAGCACCGGCUAACUACGUG
rnacentral:rRNA from 1 species